UAAAAUUUAAUUAUUAGACUGGGAAAGUAGUAAUUUUUUAAAUUACACACGUGAGUUUUAU
rnacentral:tRNA from 1 species